AGAGUUUGAUCCUGGCUCAGAUUGAACGCUGGCGGCAUGCCUAACACAUGCAAGUCGAACGGCAGCACAGAGGAGCUUGCUCCUUGGGUGGCGAGUGGCGGACGGGUGAGUAAUGCAUCGGGAUCUACCCUGACGUGGGGGAUAACCUCGGGAAACCGGGACUAAUACCGCAUACGUCCUACGGGGGAAAGCGGGGGACCUUCGGGCCUCGCGCGGCAGGACGAACCGAUGUGCGAUUAGCUAGUUGGCGGGGUAAUGGCCCACCAAGGCGACGAUCGCUAGCUGGUCUGAGAGGAUGAUCAGCCACACUGGGACUGAGACACGGCCCAGACUCCUACGGGAGGCAGCAGUGGGGAAUAUUGGACAAUGGGCGCAAGCCUGAUCCAGCAAUGCCGCGUGUGUGAAGAAGGCCUUCGGGUUGUAAAGCACUUUUAUCAGGAGCGAAAUACCACGGG
rnacentral:rRNA from 1 species